rnacentral:tRNA from 1 species
GCGGAAAUGGCGGAAUUGGUAGACGCACCAGAUUUAGGUUCUGGCGCCGCAAGGUGUGAGAGUUCAAGUCUCUCCUUCCGCA